UCUCAGCCGUUCAUUCAUAUCAAUUUCAUUCCUUCUUUCAUUCAAUAGAUUUAUUAAAUUAGUGAAAUGCUUUUCAGUUUCAAAACUGUAAACAGACGCUUCCCCUUUCACCUUACCUUCUACCUUUUCUCCUUCUCUCAGCCGUUUCUAGGUUUCAAGUCGUUUAAAACCUUCUCUCAGACACACUGCUUUUCCGUGUUUGCCACUGAUUUCAGCACCUCCUCGACACCCUCCCUCGCCCUUCCACCGCUGUCUGGAAAACCUUCAUCAUGGGCUUCAUCUGCGACCAGGAUUCAGGACUGAUAUCGUUUCCCUUUUUUUCCCUGAUCGUGAUGGAGAAGAUUGUUGAGGUUUGGCAAUCAGGUUAGAACUAGAUUGCUGAGGUUUGGCAAUCAGGUUUGAACGAUGAUGUGUUCUGCUCUUUGUCAAUUCAUUUUCAUUUUUCCGUUCAGAACCUAUUUGAUUAGGUCUUCAAGGGCUUCCUUCCGAUGAGAACGACGAUCUGCACCCAAAAGAGAGAGGGAGAGUGGGCGAUAGAGCGACGGUGGCAACAGUCCACCAAGGUAUUAUCCCUUCUUUCUCUGGAUCCCGACAUGUCACCUCACUUUCUGAAUUACGCUUUUAUUUUUUCUUUGCAUUUAAUCAUGCUUGCAGAGACUUCACAUGUAUCAUUGGAAGUCCUACCAUUCAGAAUUAGAUUUUAUUUUGAAUUACUCAAUUGCAUUGAGGUGAGGAGAUUUAAAGUUUUCUUUUGGUAUGAGUUUCCAAUUAUUCUACACAUCUUAUCUCUCAUGUAAAUGAAAAGAAAUAAAGUGUUGUUUGUAAGGAUAGAUUGUAUGCUUUAUAAUAGGGAUUUCAAAAUAAUUUAGUUGUAGUAGUUUAUUUCAGCUUACUUUCAUGUAUUUAAGCAGAAACACCUGAGAAUAGGAUGGAGUAACUUUAGGGAUCAAAAGCUAUUUUCAAAAGUUCAAAUUGAUUCCACAAAAAUUAAUUGUUUGCAUUUGCAGACCAGGUUCCAAGUUGUUUUCCCAGCCUCCUUCCCCAUAGGCAUGCUAGCCAUUUGCACAUGUGCUUGGAUUUUGUUUGUCUUUGAAAGGAUGCUGCCAUGGGAAGAAAAAUCUCUUCCAUUCCAGCAUCGGGGUGGUAAUGAGGAUAAUGGAGUUAAGUUAGUGAAACACAUUUCUUUGUUGUGCUAAAAAUGUAUAACAAUGAACAAGCAUGGGGCAAUUCUUAUCUAAUGCAUGGAAUCGACUUGGGAAACAAGAGUGCAUAUGAGCAAAACCAGGGACAACAGAGAUUCAGUUUACAUUCUCUAAGUAAAACCAGAGACACAACAUAGAUUCAGUUUGCAUCUAUCUAUAAACUAUAUAAAGGAAGAGCUUUUCAGCCUAGAGGGUAAGUUUGUAAUUCAAUAUCCUAUUGCACUACAAUUUAAUUUCCUUUAUGGGUAUUUUGGUAAAGGUAAACAUUAUUUUCCAAAAGAUGCAAUCCCAGCCGUUCUUUUGAUCUCUGUUGAGUUUUUGCUUGAAAAAACCCUUUGACUUUCAUUCUUCACAAUUGUAUUCGUAACCGAGAAAAUGUUUUGAGCUCUCAACACCUGCAGAACGUUUUGAGUCUCCCCAUCUGCUUAUCAUCUUGGUUAAAUAGGACUGGCUUCGUCGAUUUCUCUUUCACCCUGUUUCCCCUAAUUUUUUUGUCGUUCCUUCACAGGUGAUCACUUUCCAUUUUUGUUGUUUCAUCAUUUUACAUUUUCAAUGUUUGAGCUCUCUUAAUUUGAUUAUUUUGCAUAUAUAUAAUCAAAACGUUGACUAUGUGUAUGAUGCCUUCUAACAGUUUUGUUUGUACCCAAAAAUGCUCCAAUGUUCAAUUUCUUAUGGCAUGUUUCAGUUUUCCUCAAUGCCACAGAAUAGCAGGAAGAUGGUGCCCCGACGACCACAAUUUCAGCUGCUUUAGCGGCUGCGUGACUGGUGCACUAACCUGGGAUGCUACACAGCAAUUAGGAGCAUUCAAUUUCUUAUGCUUUCUUUUCUUCUCUUUGUUACCCAAGAUUUACAUGUUUAGCCAGAUGAAGAAUUUGUAAAACCUUUUGUUCAUGUAUUGUUAUGUAGGAGGUUUGCUGCACAAAUCACCAUCUCAAAUGAAAUUGCGCUGAGGUACAUCCUCUUUCUCUUUCUCAUUUGGUGAAAUUGAGGUACAUAUCCUUUACUAUUAGACUAAAAUAUUGAGCAGCCAUAUUUUUAAUAUAUAACCAAGAAAGGAUAUGGAGAUUAUUCCAUGUCCAUAUGUUAUGAUUAUAGUGCCACUAUCUUAGGAGAAAACUGAAACGCUGCAUAGUGAUUCAGAUCAUAUGGUAUUAGUUUAUGUAUCUGUUCUCUUUUUUUUUUUUUCCUGAUAUCUAUUUUAAUGUUUUAUUUGUGAUCAUGAUCCUUUUGAAGCAGUUGAAUACAUUGAGGAUCUUCAUUCUUUGUAUUGGAAACUGGAGGUAUCUGAUUGUUAUAAUUUACUUCAAUUGGGAAAUUGAUAAAAGUUUCAGGAGGGCAUUGACUUCAAAUGUGGGGGUAGUUUCACCAAAUGAACGAGAUUUAAGGAAAGGACAUGGGGAGUGACACAUAUUGUUGCUAUCUCUUAAAUUUUCUUGGUCUAAUGAAUCUUUGUUAGUCGAACUGAGCUUAUUUUCUCAAGCCUUAAGAGCAAGUUUUCUAAAUCUGAUGCUUAUUAGAUGUUUUUCCUUUGUUGACUACCCUUGCUUUUAUAUCCUAAUUUUAACAGAUACAUUUAUUUCAUUUGUUAUAAAAAUUGAUGUGUCUUGCUUGCGGAAAUGAACUAAUAUAACACAGGAGAGUUCUUAUUGCUUACUGAUUAGAAUGUGAAGAUAAAUUUAAUAAUAUAGAAGUUAUAUUAUG